rnacentral:rRNA from 1 species
AUUGAACGCUGGCGGCAUGCUUUACACAUGCAAGUCGAACGGUAACAGGGAGCUUGCUCCGCUGACGAGUGGCGAACGGGUGAGUAAUGCGUCGGAACAUGCCCAGUCGUGGGGGAUAACACUUCGAAAGAAGUGCUAAUACCGCAUACGUCCUGAGGGAGAAAGCGGGGGAUGUUCGGACCUCGCGCGAUGGGAGUGGCCGAUGUCAGAUUAGCUAGUUGGUGGGGUAAAGGCCUACCAAGGCAACGAUCUGUAGCUGGUCUGAGAGGAUGAUCAGCCACACUGGGACUGAGACACGGCCCAGACUCCUACGGGAGGCAGCAGUGGGGAAUUUUGGACAAUGGGGGCAACCCUGAUCCAGCCAUUCCGCGUGAGUGAAGAAGGCCUUCGGGUUGUAAAGCUCUUUCGGCAGGAACGAAACGGCGAGCUCUAACAUAGCUUGCUAAUGACGGUACCUGAAGAAGAAGCACCGGCUAACUACGUGCCAGCCGCCGCGGUAAGAC